CAUGGAGGCUUGGAAGUGCAUAUCCUCUAGUUUACAUGCACGCCAGACACCACAGAAAAAUAGGAUGAACUCCGAUCAAAUCACCUUUGCAACCCAAUCAAAUGAGAGAGGAGAGAUACUAGUGUGACACCUCACACCAGCAAGGAGGAUGCCUAAGAAGGGCCCCACAUCAAGGAGAAAGGGGCGGUGCCAAGGGGAGAUGCCAAGGAUGAGAAGAAGGGACCUCUCUCUCU
rnacentral:lncRNA from 1 species